rnacentral:rRNA from 1 species
GAUCAUGGCUCAGGAUGAACGCUAGCGGCAGGCUUAAUACAUGCAAGUCGAGGGGCAGCAUGGUGUAGCAAUACACUGAUGGCGACCGGCAAACGGGUGCGGAACACGUACAGAACCUUCCUUCGAGCGGGGAAUAGCCCAGAGAAAUUUGGAUUAAUACCCCAUAGUAUAUUGGAGUGGCAUCACUUUAGUAUUAAAGAUUUAUCACUUGAAGAUGGCUGUGCGGCUGAUUAGGUAGUUGGCGGGGUAACGGCCCACCAAGCCUGCGAUCAGUAACUGGUGUGAGAGCACGACCAGUCACACGGGCACUGAGACACGGGCCCGACUCCUACGGGAGGCAGCAGUAAGGAAUAUUGGUCAAUGGACGAAAGUCUGAACCAGCCAUGCCGCGUGGAGGAUGAAGGUCCUCUGGAUUGUAAACUUCUUUUAUAUGGGACGAAAAAGGGCUUUCUAGCUCGUCUGACGGUACCAUAUGAAUAAGCACCGGCUAACUCCGUG